AAUCCAUAGGUUAAUGAGGCGAACCGGGGGAACUGAAACAUCUAAGUACCCCGAGGAAAAGAAAUCAACCGAGAUUCCCCCAGUAGCGGCGAGCGAACGGGGAGGAGCCCAGAGCCUGAAUCAGCAUGUGUGUUAGUGGAAGCGUCUGGAAAGGCGCGCGAUACAGGGUGACAGCCCCGUACACAAAAGCGCAUGUGCUGUGAGCUCGAUGAGUAGGGCGGGACACGUGGUAUCCUGUCUGAAUAUGGGGGGACCAUCCUCCAAGGCUAAAUACUCCUGACUGACCGAUAGUGAACCAGUACCGUGAGGGAAAGGCGAAAAGAACCCCGGCGAGGGGAGUGAAAAAGAACCUGAAACCGUGUACGUACAAGCAGUGGGAGCCCCACCACUAAGCCAGUGGUGAACUCCACAUACGCAUCCUUUGCUGAGGAUACGGUUAACGGAGCGAAAGCGACGUUCAACCGCAAAACAAGCAGAGGGGGCUUAGUGGUGGGGUGACUGCGUACCUUUUGUAUAAUGGGUCAGCGACUUAUAUUCUGUAGCAAGGUUAACCGAAUAGGGGAGCCGUAGGGAAACCGAGUCUUAAUUGGGCGUUAAGUUGCAGGGUAUAGACCCGAAACCCGGUGAUCUAGCCAUGGGCAGGUUGAAGGUUGGGUAACACUAACUGGAGGACCGAACCGACUAAUGUUGAAAAAUUAGCGGAUGACCUGUGGCUGGGGGUGAAAGGCCAAUCAAACCGGGAGAUAGCUGGUUCUCCCCGAAAGCUAUUUAGGUAGCGCCUCGUGAAUUCAUCUCCGGGGGUAGAGCACUGUUUCGGCUAGGGGGCCAUCCCGGCUUACCAACCCGAUGCAAACUGCGAAUACCGGAGAAUGUUAUCACGGGAGACACACGGCGGGUGCUAACGUCCGUCGUGAAGAGGGAAACAACCCAGACCGCCAGCUAAGGUCCCAAAGUCAUGGUUAAGUGGGAAACGAUGUGGGAAGGCCCAGACAGCCAGGAUGUUGGCUUAGAAGCAGCCAUCAUUUAAAGAAAGCGUAAUAGCUCACUGGUCGAGUCGGCCUGCGCGGAAGAUGUAACGGGGCUAAACCAUGCACCGAAGCUGCGGCAGCGAACGUAUCACUUAAAGCGAUUCAGCGGGUUACGAUUGACGGAGCGAAGCGACGUCAAAGCGUAUACAAAGUCGAGUCGGUUUAAGGAUACGUUCGUUGGGUAGGGGAGCGUUCUGUAAGCCUGUGAAGGUG
rnacentral:rRNA from 1 species